rnacentral:rRNA from 1 species
UACAGAGGUCUCAAGCGUUGUUCGGAUUCAUUGGGCGUAAAGGGUGUGUAGGUGGCGCCGUAAGUCGGGUGUGAAAUUUCGGAGCUUAACUCCGAAACUGCAUUCGAUACUGCGGUGCUUGAGGACUGGAGAGGAGACUGGAAUUCAUGGUGUAGCAGUGAAAUGCGUAGAGAUCAUGAGGAAGACCAGUGGCGAAGGCGGGUCUCUGGACAGUUCCUGACGCUGAGGCGCGAGAGCGUGGGGAGCAAACCGG